UACAGGGGGUGCAAACGUUGCUCGGAAUCAUUGGGCGUAAAGCGCACGUAGGCGGUCUGUUAUGUCGGAUGUGAAAGCCCUUGGCUUAACUGAGGAAGUGCAUCCGAAACUGGCAGGCUAGAGUACUAAAGAGGGUCGCGGAAUUCCCGGUGUAGAGGUGAAAUUCGUAGAUAUCGGGAGGAACACCGGUGGCGAAGGGCGGCGACCUGGGUAGAUACUGACGCUGAGGUGCGAAAGCGUGGGGAGCAAACAGG
rnacentral:rRNA from 1 species